rnacentral:rRNA from 1 species
GACGAACGCUGGCGGCGUGCUUGACACAUGCAAGUCGAGCGGUAAGGCUCCUUCGGGAGUACACGAGCGGCGAACGGGUGAGUAACACGUGAGCAAUCUGCCCUUCUCAUCGGAAUAACACUUGGAAACGAUGGCUACUGCCGAAUACGAAUUCCUUUCGCAUGUCAGGAAUUGGAAAGCUCCGGCGGAGAGGGAUGAGCUCGCGGCCUACCAGCUUGUUGGUCAGGUAAUGGCUCACCAAAGCGACGACGGGUAGCCGGCCUGAGAGGGUGACCGGCCACACUGGGACUGAGACACGGCCCAGACUCCUACGGGAGGCAGCAGUGGGGAAUAUUGGACAAUGGGCGAAAGCCUGAUCCAGCAACGCCGCGUGAGGGAUGACGGCCUUCGGGUUGUAAACCUCUUUCAGCAGGGACGAAGCGAAAGUGACGGUACCUGCAGAAGAAGGACCGGCCAACUACGUGCCAGCCGCCGCCGUA